rnacentral:rRNA from 1 species
CUUGCUUCUCUUGAGAGCGGCGGACGGGUGAGUAAUGCCUAGGAAUCUGCCUGGUAGUGGGGGAUAACGUCCGGAAACGGACGCUAAUACCGCAUACGUCCUACGGGAGAAAGCAGGGGACCUUCGGGCCUUGCGCUAUCAGAUGAGCCUAGGUCGGAUUAGCUAGUUGGUGGGGUAAUGGCUCACCAAGGCGACGAUCCGUAACUGGUCUGAGAGGAUGAUCAGUCACACUGGAACUGAGACACGGUCCAGACUCCUACGGGAGGCAGCAGUGGGGAAUAUUGGACAAUGGGCGAAAGCCUGAUCCAGCCAUGCCGCGUGUGUGAAGAAGGUCUUCGGAUUGUAAAGCACUUUAAGUUGGGAGGAAGGGCAGUAAAUUAAUACUUUGCUGUUUUGACGUUACCGACAGAAUAAGCACCGGCUAACUCUGUGCCAGCAGCCGCGGUAAUACAGAGGGUGCAAGCGUUAAUCGGAAUUACUGGGCGUAAAGCGCGCGUAGGUGGUUCGUUAAGUUGGAUGUGAAAUCCCCGGGCUCAACCUGGGAACUGCAUUCAAAACUGACGAGCUAGAGUAUGGUAGAGGGUGGUGGAAUUUCCUGUGUAGCGGUGAAAUGCGUAGAUAUAGGAAGGA